GACGAACGCUGGCGGCGUGCUUAACACAUGCAAGUCGAACGGAACGGCCCCUUUGGCAGUGCUCGAGUGGCGAACGGGUGCGUAACACGUGUGUAACCUGCCCUUGGCUUCGGGAUAACUUCAUGAAACUGUGGCUAAUACCGCAUAGUAAUCCUUGCUUCAGUGUGGUGGUUGGAAAGCUUCUGCGGUUUUGGAUGGACUCGCGGCGUAUCAGCUUGUUGGUGGGGUAGUGGCUUACCAAGGCGUUGACGGGUAGCCGGCCUGAGAGGGUGAACGGCCACAGUGGGAAUGAGAUACGGCCCAGACUCCUACGGGAGGCAGAAGUGGGGAAUAUUGCACAAUGGGCGGAAGCCUGAUGCAGCAACGCCGCGUGCGGGAUGACGGCCUUCGGGUUGUAAACGGAUUUCCCUAGGGGCGAAGCUUUUGGUGACGGUACCUAAAGAAGAAGCACCGGCUAACUACGUG
rnacentral:rRNA from 1 species